ACGGGUGAGUAACGCGUGGGAAUCUACCUUUUGCUACGGAAUAACUCAGGGAAACUUGUGCUAAUACCGUAUGUGCCCCCCUUUAAAAUUUCAGGAUACAUAAAAUGCCCUGGCAUUUUAUGGGGGGGAAAGAUUUAUCGGCAAAGGAUGAGCCCGCGUUGGAUUAGCUAGUUGGUGGGGUAAAGGCCCACCAAGGCGACGAUCCAUAGCUGGUCUGAGAGGAUGAUCAGCCACACUGGGACUGAGACACGGCCCAGACUCCUACGGGAGGCAGCAGUGGGGAAUAUUGGACAAUGGGCGCAAGCCUGAUCCAGCCAUGCCGCGUGAGUGAUGAAGGCCCUAGGGUUGUAAAGCUCUUUCACCGGUGAAGAUAAUGACGGUAACCGGAGAAGAAGCCCCGGCUAACUUCGUGCCAGCAGCCGCGGUAAUACGAAGGGGGCUAGCGUUGUUCGGAUUUACUGGGCGUAAAGCGCACGUAGGCGGACUUUUAAGUCAGGGGUGAAAUCCCAGAGCUCAACUCUGGAACUGCCUUUGAUACUGGAAGUCUUGAGUAUGGUAGAGGUGAGUGGAAUUCCGAGUGUAGAGGUGAAAUUCGUAGA
rnacentral:rRNA from 1 species